rnacentral:rRNA from 1 species
GUCACACGGAACUGCCGGUCGAUAAACCGGAGGAAGGUGGGGAUGACGUCAAGUCAGCAUGGCCUUUAUAUCCUGGGCUACACACACGCUACAAUGGGAAGGGACAAUAGGUUGCGAAGCCGCGAGGCGGAGCCAAUCCAGCAAAACUUCCCUCAGUUCAGAUUGCAGGCUGCAACCCGCCUGCAUGAAGUUGGAGUUGCUAGUAAACGCAGGUCAGCCAUACUGCGUUGAAUACGUUCCCGGGGGCUU